GGAGAGGUGGCAGAGCGGUUGAAUGCGCCGGUCUCGAAAACCGGUUGGCCCGCGAGGGUCACGGGAGUUCGAAUCUCCCCCUCUCCG
rnacentral:tRNA from 1 species